CAGGUAGAGAAUACUAAGGCGCUUGAGAGAACUAUGUUGAAGGAACUCGGCAAAUUGCACGCGUAACUUCGGAAGAAGCGUGACCCUUUUUUACGCAAGUGGAAGAGGGUGGCACAGACCAGGGGGUAGCGACUGUUUAUCAAAAACACAGGGCUCUGCGAAGUCGCAAGACGACGUAUAGGGUCUGACGCCUGCCCGGUGCCUGAAGGUUAAAAGGAG
rnacentral:rRNA from 12 species